UACGAAAGGGGCUAGCGUUGUUUCGGAUUUACUGGGCGUAAAGCGCACGUAGGCGGAUCGGUUAAGUCGGGGGUGAAAUCCUGGAGCUCAACUCCAGAACUGCCUUUGAUACUGGGGAUCUCGAGUCCGGAAGAGGUGAGUGGAACUCCGAGUGUAGAGGUGAAAUUCGUAGAUAUUCGGAAGAACACCAGUGGCGAAGGCGGCUCACUGGUCCGGUACUGACGCUGAGGUGCGAAAGCGUGGGGAGCAAACAGG
rnacentral:rRNA from 1 species